UCUGGUUUCUAGUGGCGGACGGGUGAGUAACGCGUGGGUAACCUGCCUUAUACAGGGGGAUAACAACCAGAAAUGGUUGCUAAUACCGCAUAAGCGCACAGGACCGCAUGGUCCGGUGUGAAAAACUCCGGUGGUAUAAGAUGGACCCGCGUUGGAUUAGCUAGUUGGUGGGGUAACGGCCUACCAAGCCGACGAUCAGUAGCCGACCUGAGAGGGUGACCGGCCACAUUGGGACUGAGACACGGCCCAA
rnacentral:rRNA from 1 species